rnacentral:rRNA from 1 species
UACGUAGGGGGCGAGCGUUUGUCCGGAUUUAUUGGGCGUAAAGCGCUCGCAGGUGGUCCGAUGCGUCGUGCGUGAAAGACCCCGGCUCAACUGGGGGGCGUCGUGCGAUACGGUCGGACUGGAGGCCAGUAGGGGGAUGCGGAAUUCCGGGUGUAGUGGUGGAAUGCGUAGAGAUCCGGAGGAACACCAGCGGCGAAGGCGGCCUGCUGGGCUGACCCUGACACUGAGGCGCGAAGGCGUGGGGAGCGAACGGG